rnacentral:piRNA from 3 species
CACGCAUCGACCUGGUAUUGCAGUACUUCC